AUUGAACGCUGGCGGCAUGCUUUACACAUGCAAGUCGAACGGUAACAGGCCGCAAGGUGCUGACGAGUGGCGAACGGGUGAGUAAUGCAUCGGAACGUGCCCAGUCGUGGGGGAUAACUGCUCGAAAGAGCAGCUAAUACCGCAUACGAUCUAUGGAUGAAAGCGGGGGACCGUAAGGCCUCGCGCGAUUGGAGCGGCCGAUGUCAGAUUAGGUAGUUGGUGGGGUAAAGGCCUACCAAGCCUGCGAUCUGUAGCUGGUCUGAGAGGACGACCAGCCACACUGGGACGGAGACACGGCCCAGACUCCUACGGGAGGCAGCAGUGGGGAAUUUUGGACAAUGGGCGCAAGCCUGAUCCAGCCAUUCCGCGUGCAGGAUGAAGGCCCUCGGGUUGUAAACUGCUUUUGUACGGAACGAAACGGCGCUUUCUAAUACAGAGCGCUAAUGACGGUACCGUAAGAAUAAGCACCGGCUAACUACGUGCCAGCCGCCGCAGUAAUAC
rnacentral:rRNA from 1 species